UUAGGACCUCUUUUGUGUGUGACCCCAUAGAUUCUAUUUUAUCUAGUAGUGAGAAAUAUUUUGAUCUCCAUCAAAAUAUCAUUGAAACUUCUUUUAAUGGAUUGAAACAAUUCUAACUUACCAAUUGAGAAUUAUUGAUCAUCAAAAUAAUUUUCGUUGAUUUCACAAUCCACCAGUGAUGCCUAGCAGCAUAUAGUGACAACCGAAUAAAACCAAAAGAUGAACCUCUAGGUGUAGUUACCAUGUGAUUCCGU
rnacentral:lncRNA from 1 species